UACGUAGGGUGCAAGCGUUAAUCGGAAUUACUGGGCGUAAAGGGCGCGUAGGCGGCCUGAUAAGUAGGGGGUGAAAUCCUGGGGCUUAACCUCAGGGCUGCCUUCUAGACUGUCCGGCUCGAGCACAGUAGAGGCAGGUGGAAUUCCCGGUGUAGCGGUGGAAUGCGUAGAGAUCGGGAAGAACAUCGGUGGCGAAGGCGGCCUGCUGGGCUGUUGCUGACG
rnacentral:rRNA from 1 species